CAAGACAACUUUACGGAGUUGACGAUUGACGGAGCGAAGCGACGUCAAAGCGUUCAUUAAAGUCGAGUUGGCUUAGGGAUACGUUCGUUGGGUAGGGGAGCGUUCUGUAAGCCUGUGAAGGUGUGUCGUGAGGCAUGCUGGAGGUAUCAGAAGUGCGAAUGCUGACAUAAGUAACGAUAAAGCGGGUGAAAAGCCCGCUCGCCGGAAGACCAAGGGUUCCUGUCCAACGUUAAUCGGGGCAGGGUGAGUCGACCCCUAAGGCGAGGCCGAAAGGCGUAGUCGAUGGGAAACGGGUUAAUAUUCCCGUACUUGGUGUUACUGCGAAGGGGGGACGGAGAAGGCUAUGUUGGCCGGGCGACGGUUGUCCCGGUUUAAGCGUGUAGGUGUGUGUUCCAGGUAAAUCCGGUU
rnacentral:rRNA from 5 species